rnacentral:rRNA from 1 species
UACGGGGGGAGCAAGCGUUGUUCGGAUUUACUGGGCGUAAAGGGCGCGUAGGCGGCCACCGCAAGUCGACUGUGAAAUCUCCGGGCUUAACCCGGAAAGGUCAGCCGAUACUGCGGGGCUAGAGUGCAGAAGGGGCAACUGGAAUUAUCGGUGUAGCAGUGAAAUGCGUAGAUAUCGAUAGGAACACUCGUGGCGAAAGCGAGCUACUGGACAUUUACUGACGCUGAGGCUCGAAGGCUAGGGGAGCGAAAGGG